rnacentral:rRNA from 1 species
AGAGCGAACGCUGGCGGCAGGCUUAACACAUGCAAGUCGAGCGGGCGUAGCAAUACGUCAGCGGCAGACGGGUGAGUAACGCGUGGGAACAUACCUUUUGGUUCGGAACAACCCAGGGAAACUUGGGCUAAAUACCGGAUAAGCCCUUACGGGGAAAGAUUUAUCGCCGAAAGAUUGGCCCGCGUCUGAUUAGCUAGUUGGUGAGGUAACGGCUCACCAAGGCGACGAUCAGUAGCUGGUCUGAGAGGAUGAUCAGCCACAUUGGGACUGAGACACGGCCCAAACUCCUACGGGAGGCAGCAGUGGGGAAUAUUGCGCAAUGGGCGAAAGCCUGACGCAGCGACGCCGCGUGGGGAUGAAGGCCUUCGGGUUGUAAACCCCUUUCAGCAGGGACGAAGCGAAAGUGACGGUACCUGCAGAAGAAGCGCCGGCUAACUACGCGCCAGCAGCCGC